UCCUGACUAAAGACGUAUUUAUAAACGUGUGUAUGGUUCAUGUAAUGCUUUUAGCUUUUAUCUGUUCCCUUUGACCACGAUCUUGUUACAAAUUUUUUAUCACCAUUGUUUAUUUAUCAACUACCACAUACGUCGUAAUCGUGUCUCCCAGAGUUCUCAACUCUAAAGUGCUUAUAUUAAAUUGGCAAAAUUUCUCCUCGUAGUGUAUCCCCAUCAAUUUCCGGGAUCAGUCCAGUUGCAAACUACAUCAUAUUCUGAGUUAUGAUGACAGCACUUACUACCGUCGUGCUGUUAGUUAAGACACCUCACUGGUACACAGGGAUAUUAUUUUCAGUGUGUAGAGAGUGUGAUUGAGUAAACUUUGAUGCUAGUUUAUUAUGGUGACAUCAGAAUGUUAUCACUCAGAGUUAAGGCAAUACUAGUGUUUCCUAACUUGUGGUGAUUGAUGUAACUCAGACAUUUUAAUGUAAGUGUUGCUCUUAUUUGAACACAUUAUGACAUAGUCUUUUCAAGUGUUGAGGGAAUCUUUGUAUUACUAUGAUAACAAGGCAGAAGAUUCAGUGAUAUAACUGUGAUACCCCUGAAGGGCUCUUGAUCUGAGGAAUUUUGAUACCAUAAUACUUUUGUGUUGUAAGACUUCGUCUACAUCACCAGUUUGUCUGUGUUAGUGGGAGAGAGAGAGAGAGAGAGAGAGAGAGAGAGAACUUCUUCCUUCACACUCACCAUAUAUAUUCCCUUCCUUCCUUCCCUGCUUUAUUAUAAAGCAAGUUUUACUACCUCCACUUUCUCGCGUGUUUCUUCUCCCCCAGAGAGCAAGUCCCAGCUGGAGGAGGAGGUGAGCGAGCAGGAAGCAGAGGUGAACGAGGUGGAAGAGUCAGGAGCAGAUAAAGCUGGUGAAGCAGCAGAGGAUGGAGAGGCGAAAGACGAAGAUAAAGGCGGCGAGGAAGAUAAGAGCGGUGAAGAUGGCACAGAAGAGGGAGAAAGUGAAGAGCAGAAGGAAGGUGAGGUAGACGAGGCAGAAGGAGAGAAGUCAGACGAGGGAGCAGAGAAGACGUCUGAUAAGGAAGAAGUGGAAGAAGAGAAGGAAGAGAGUGAAGAAAAGGAGGCAGGAGAAGAGGAAAUAAGUAAGGAAGAUGAAGGAGACGCAACUGGAGAGGGAGAGAAAGGAGGAGAUAAAGACACAUCAGAGACAGAAAAAGAAGAGUAGAGCAUAUUGAUAUUAUAUAUAUAUAUAUAU